CUCAUUCUAGGAACUGCCCUCACCCAAAAGCUUCCAUCAUCAGUAGGAAACAGAGUACCGGAAGCCCUGGUCAUGCUGCAGUACAACUGUUAAAACCUUCACCAGUGCCCACCAAGCCAAAAACCAAAAAGGAAGUAAAUUCAGUGGCUUAAGUAAAAGUGUAUUGUCCCUGUCAUGACAGUUGAAAGGUACACAGGAGGUCUGAGGUGAACACAACACUCUGCUCCAAGGAACAGACCCCGUUGGCUCUGCUGUCUUCACCAUGUCGUGUCCAUCUCCGGAUCAAAGCCUGAGGCUUCAGUUCUGGUCAUAUCUCAGCCAAACAGAAGAGGGGAAAGAAGACAUCUAGGAAAAUGGGUUUUUCUUAAAGAAAAUAACCCCAAAAGUUGUCACCAUCUCCUCCUCUUACAUCCCAAUGGCCCAAACCUAUAGGGCCCAAUCUAUCUGCAUCUACCUGAUGAAUAGUGCUGGGUAGUUGUGAGCAAGAUAAAGCACAGGCUGACUGGGAUUCUAUUUCUCCAAAGAAAAGCAGCCUCUGUCUCGGGUGACUAUCAUCAGUCCUGCUGCAGAAGCAGAGAACCAGCCAUCUGCCUGAGGAGACAGAGCCAAAUCCAGGACACCACUCCACUUCUAUCUCUGGACCUUAUGCUAAGGACAACAGGAACAGAGAGAGACAGCCACCACAGAUGAGAUGUCACACACUAUGUUGCCACACAUGGCACAGCUGGACUGGCCCUCACCCUGCAGACCAGCAUGUCUCAGUACUGCUAAUUACAAAACUCUCUUCCUCUGGGAGGAAUGGACCCUUGGAAACAAAAAACUAUGGAUCUCUUCAAAAUUAAUGAAAAUCAGAUUUGAUCAGGGGAGACCUCCUGAAAAUCUUGGCUACAGACAUUAAGGAAAAAAACUGCAAGACAGGGCUCUGGGAGAAUCCCGGAAGAGGGUAUGGAGGAAGUAGAAAGCACGUGAGAACCUAAAGACGGAGAGGAGGGCUAUAAAACACUGUUUCUAGACACAGCAUGGAUGCUGCCUUCAUGAACUACUCACAGCAGCUGUGGU